AGCGAACGCUGGCGGCAGGCCUAACACAUGCAAGUCGAACGAACCUUUCGGGGUUAGUGGCGGACGGGUGAGUAACACGUGGGAACGUGCCUUUAGGUUCGGAAUAACUCAGGGAAACUUGUGCUAAUACCGAAUGUGCCCUUCGGGGGAAAGAUUAAUCGCCUUUAGAGCGGCCCGCGUCUGAUUAGCUAGUUGGUUGAGGUAAUGGCUCACCAAGGCGACGAUCAGUAGCUGGUCUGAGAGGAUGAUCAGCCACAUUGGGACUGAGACACGGCCCAAACUCCUACGGGAGGCAGCAGUGGGGAAUCGUGCGCAAUGGGCGAAAGCCUGACGCAGCCAUGCCGCGUGAAUGAUGAAGGUCUUAGGAUUGUAAAAUUCUUUCAACGGGGAAGAUAAUGACGGUACCCGGAGAAGAAGCCCCGGCUAACUUCGUG
rnacentral:rRNA from 1 species